AUUGAACGCUGGCGGCAUGCCUUACACAUGCAAGUCGAACGGCAGCACGGGAGCAAUCCUGGUGGCGAGUGGCGAACGGGUGAGUAAAGUAUCGGAACGUGCCCAGUCGUGGGGGAUAACGUAGCGAAAGUUACGCUAAUACCGCAUACGAUCUAUGGAUGAAAGCGGGGGAUCGCAAGACCUCGCGCGAUUGGAGCGGCCGAUAUAAGAUUAGGUAGUUGGUGGGGUAAAGGCUCACCAAGCCGACGAUCUGUAGCUGGUCUGAGAGGACGACCAGCCACACCGGGACUGAGACACGGCCCAGACUCCUACGGGAGGCAGCAGUGGGGAAUUUUGGACAAUGGGCGAAAGCCUGAUCCAGCCAUGCCGCGUGCAGGAUGAAGGCCUUCGGGUUGUAAACUGCUUUUGUACGGAACGAAAAGGUUUGGCCUAAUAAGCUGAGCUCAUGACGGUACCAUAAGAAUAAGCACCGGCUAACUACGUGCCAGCCGCCGCUGUAA
rnacentral:rRNA from 1 species